rnacentral:rRNA from 1 species
CUUGGUCAUUUAGAGGAAGUAAAAGUCGUAACAAGGUCUCCGUUGGUGAACCAGCGGAGGGAUCAUUACAGAGUUGCAAAACUCCCUAAACCAUCGCGAACGUUACCUUUACCGUUGCUUCGGCGGGGGGCUCCAGGGCGGAGCCGCAGCCCUCACGGGCGCCCGCCGGCGGCACUACAAACUCUUUUUUAUUACAGGCCUCUCUGAGUAAUUUAUACAAAUAAGUUAAAACUUUCAACAACGGAUCUCUUGGUUCUGGCAUCGAUGAAGAACGCAGCGAAAUGCGAUAAGUAAUGUGAAUUGCAGAAUUCAGUGAAUCAUCGAAUCUUUGAACGCACAUUGCGCCCGCCAGUAUUCUGGCGGGCAUGCCUGUUCGAGCGUCAUUUCAACCAUCAAGCCCCCGGCUUGCGUUGGGGCCCUGCGGCUGCCGCAGGCCCUUAAAAACAGUGGCGGGCUCGCUGUCACACCGAGCGUAGUAAUACAUCUCGCUUUGGACGUGCGGCGGGUUCUUGCCGUGAAACACCCCCCUUCUCAAGGUUGACCUCGGAUCAGGUAGGAAUACCCGCUGAACUUAAGCAUAUCAAUAAGCGGAGGA